UGGGGAAUUUUGCGCAAUGGGCGAAAGCCUGACGCAGCGACGCCGCGUGUACGAUGAAGGCCUUCGGGUUGUAAACCGCUGUCAGUUGGGAGGAAGAGCUCGUGAAGAGCGAGUUUUGACCUAUCUUCAGAGGAAGUCCGGGCUAAGUUCGUGCCAGCAGCCGCGGUAACACGAACCGGACAAACGUUAUUCGGAAUUAUUGGGCUUAAAGGGUGCGUAGGCGGCCAUGUAGGUGGGGUGUGAAAUCCCUCGGCUCAACCGAGGAACUGCGCCCCAAACCACAUGGCUAGAGGGAGACAGAGGUAAGCGGAACUGAUGGUGGAGCGGUGAAAUGCGUUGAUAUCAUCAGGAACACCGGUGGCGAAAGCGGCUUACUGGGUCUCUUCUGACGCUGAGGUACGAAAGCUAGGGUAGCGAACGGGAUUAGAUACCCCUGUAGUCC
rnacentral:rRNA from 1 species